CGCGACGGUACCCCGGAGGAAGCCCCGGCAAAUAUUGCCAGCAGCCGCGGUAUACGUAGGGGCGCGCGUUGUCCUGAAUUUCUGGGCGAAAGGGCGCGUGGCGGCGCUUGUUCUGGGGUGAAAAACUGCAGCUCAACAGCGGGGGAGCGUCUGAAAUCAUUGGGGUUGAGGGCCGGAGAGGGGAGGGGAAUUCCCGGUGUAGCGGUGAAAAGUGUAGAUAUCUGGAGGAACACCAGUGGCGAGGGCGGCUCUCUGGCCUGGCCCUGACGCUGAGGCGCGAAAGCGUGGGGAGCGAACACGAUUAGAUACCCCGGUGGUGCACGCGGUAAAAGAUGGGUGCU
rnacentral:rRNA from 1 species